rnacentral:misc_RNA from 1 species
GUCCGGCAAGACGGCGCGCGAAAUCCUGGCCGCCGAUCCGAUCUCGAUCUUCGACGAGUUCGGAUUUCGCGAACACCUGACGCCGCAGCGUUCCAACGGCCUGCGGGCCAUGGCGGAGCGGAUCAAGAACGACGCCCGCGAAACGCUGGCGUCGGCAUCCUGAAUUCUUACGGCGUAAAGGCCGCAUCGUCCGCAAGCCAGGUCCUGAUCG